UUUCGUUACUUGGCUAGAAAAUGCUAAGCGUCCGAACAAGUCAAAUUGACUCAUAUGAAACAAUAUUCUCUAGCUUUAUGGCAAUGGUUCAUCUGAAACGCUGUACAAACCUACAACUGUUUCAGUAUAGCGUCAUCCGUACCUUCGAUGGCGGUAAAUUCUGGUCUUACCAACAAAUUGGACUCGUCUGAUACGCACACGGUGCCCAGCCCAAGCUCUGGUGAAAUCCAUCGUGUAUGAGUAUGUUUCGACAGCAUCAAAUGUUGGCCGAAGAAAGGCCGAGGCGUAUUUUCUGUUAAGCGUAACGUUACCUAACAACUGGAAGCCUUAAUAUCGUCGUAAUUAAGCGUUCUGACGAUUCCAAUUGUUCGCGCAUAAAAUAGAACCAAGACGCUGGCAAAUUUUGUCCUUGCUUAACAUAAAUCAGUCAAUGUUGAAAAUAGUUGAUAUAAUGAAGGCUAACCAUAAUAAAUUUCACCGUUUCGGAAUUUUCGAUUUCGCAUAGAAACUUAAGUCGAUCACACCUAAUAAAACGUUAUUUACGUACGCCAGAAACGCA